rnacentral:lncRNA from 1 species
UUCCCUCCACUCAUGCUACCUGCUGUUUGCGUCUCAAAUCUGGUAUCACUGAGAUAGUGACUUAUUUUCACAGUCUACGAAACAAAUAGUCAAGGGUUUACUUAAAAAAAUCUUCAGUAUCCUAAAAAAGUGUUCUUGAAGAAAAUAUCAGAAUUUUACAUAUUAGAGGGAAUAUCUUGAGAAAAUUACUACAAAACAGAUAUAAACAAUCCAAAAUAUGACUGCUGACUGUACCAGUGAUGUUUAUUCACCGCAAAAAACUAUAGAUAAUUAUAUCAAUGUCAUAUCUUGUAUUAAUUCACAGUGCAAGAAAAUUGCAAGAUUGUGAAAAGAAUUAUGAUUUGAAGAUGAAUAAUCUUGAAACAUUGGUGUCUUGUUUAAAGGAAGAAAUAUAUUGGAUGAUCCUGUACAAACUGUAUGCAUAAAGAUGUUAUCACCAUACAAUUUAUAUGAGAAAUUGUACGUGUAUUUAAUUUAUUAAAAUCCAGAUAAGGUUGUGGCAGAAGGAAAGAAUGAACGCAGUAGUUGACCUCGGUCUU